AUUAAACGCUGGCGGCAUGCCUUACACAUGCAAGUCGAACGGUAGCGCGGGGCAACCUGGCGACGAGUGGCGAACGGGUGAGUAAAGCAUCGGAACGUGCCCUGGAAUGGGGGAUAACGUAGCGAAAGUUACGCUAAUACCGCAUAUUCUGUGAGCAGGAAAGCAGGGGAUCGCAAGACCUUGCGUUCUGGGAGCGGCCGAUGUCGGAUUAGCUAGUUGGUGGGGUAAAAGCCUACCAAGGCGACGAUCCGUAGCGGGUCUGAGAGGAUGAUCCGCCACACUGGGACUGAGACACGGCCCAGACUCCUACGGGAGGCAGCAGUGGGGGAAUUUUGGGACAAUGGGCGGAAGCCUGAUCCAGCCAUGCCGCGUGAGUGAAGAAGGCC
rnacentral:rRNA from 1 species